CUCUUAUCCCCUCCCCUUGUGCAGCCCCCCCCCCUCUCUAGCCUUUGUGCAGCCGCCCCCCCCCCCCUCUCUCAUCUCCUCCUCCCUCAAACUCUUGCAGCCACCAUCCCACAAACCCUAGCUGCCCCCCCCCCCAUCUCCUCCUCUCCUAGGUGCAGCCCUCCCGCUUGAUCUACGUCGCGUGGGUGCAAAUCUCCAAUUGGAAUUUGGUGGAAGGAAGAAGGAGGGAGGAAAGGGGGAGAAGUCAAGGUACUUGAUACAUGUUGGGAAUGAGGGGAGUAGCAGCACGUCCACUUUCACUCUCAUAAUAACGCUGCCCAGGCGCAGCCAUGAUUUAAUUAGAAACUUGUUGUCAAAGGAUGUUUGUUUUUUUAACUAGUCGUACGCACUGGUUAAUUCAGUUCAUGUCGUAUGUUUAACUUCCCUUUGCUAGCCUAUUAAUAAUACUUAGUAUGUUUUUUGUCAUGAUAUAUGUUUAUACACUGUUGUCCCCUCAUUUAUGCAAUUUUGCAAACGAGAUGCUGCUGAAAUUUUA